rnacentral:rRNA from 1 species
GACGAACGCUGGCGGCGUGCUUAACACAUGCAAGUCGAACGGAAAGGCCCUGCUUUUGUGGGGUGCUCGAGUGGCGAACGGGUGAGUAACACGUGAGUAACCUGCCCUUGACUUUGGGAUAACUUCAGGAAACUGGGGCUAAUACCGGAUAGGAGCUCCUGCUGCAUGGUGGGGGUUGGAAAGUUUCGGCGGUUGGGGAUGGACUCGCGGCUUAUCAGCUUGUUGGUGGGGUAGUGGCUUACCAAGGCUUUGACGGGUAGCCGGCCUGAGAGGGUGGCCGGCCACAUUGGGACUGAGAGACGGCCCAGACUCCUACGGGAGGCAGCAGUGGGGAGUAUUGCACAAUGGGCGGAAGCCUGAUGCAGCAACGCCGCGUGCGGGAUGACGGCCUUCGGGUUGUAAACCGCUUUCGCCUGUGACGAAGCGUGAGUGACGGUAAUGGGUAAAGAAGCACCGGCUAACUACGUG